UACGUAGGGUGCGAGCGUUAAUCGGAAUUACUGGGCGUAAAGCGUGCGCAGGCGGUUCGUUGUGUCGGCGGUGAAAUCCCCGGGCUCAACCUGGGAAUGGCCGUUGAAACUGGCGAACUGGAGUGUGGCAGAGGGGGGUGGAAUUCCGCGUGUAGCAGUGAAAUGCGUAGAGAUGUGGAGGAACACCGAUGGCGAAGGCAGCCCCCUGGGUCAACACUGACGCUCAUGCACGAAAGCGUGGGGAGCAAACAGG
rnacentral:rRNA from 1 species